UUGGCCCAGAUCGUUUACCGUGAAAAAAUUAGAGUGUUCAAAGCAGGCAGAUCCAAUUUUCUGCCACCGAAUACAUUAGCAUGGGAUAAUGGAAUAGGACCCUGUCCUCCUAUUUUCAGUUGGUUUUGGCAGCGCGAGGACUAGGGUAAUGAUUAAUAGGGAUAGUUGGGGGCAUUAAUAUUUAAUUGUCAGAGGUGAAAUUCUUGGAUUUAUGAAAGAUUAACUUCUGCGAAAGCAUCUGCCAAGGAUGUUUUCAUUAAUCAAGAACGAAAGUUAGGGGAUCGAAGACGAUCAGAUACCGUCGUAGUCUUAACCAUAAACGAUGCCGACCAGCGAUUAGGAGACGUUGAAUACAAAACACCACCAUCGGCGCGGUCGUCCUUGGCGUCUGUCCCUUUCAACGGGGGCAGGCGCGAGGGCGGUUUAGCCCGGUGGCACCGGUGAAUGACUCCCUAGCAGCUUGUGAGAA
rnacentral:rRNA from 1 species